rnacentral:tRNA from 3 species
GGCCCGGUAGCUCAGCCGGAUAGAGCAGAGCUUUCCUAAAGCUAAGGUCGGGGGUUCGAGUCCCUCCCGGGUCGCCA